CCUACGGGCGGCAGCAGUGGGGAAUAUUGGACAAUGGGGGCAACCCUGAUCCAGCCAUGCCGCGUGUGUGAAGAAGGCCCUCGGGUUGUAAAGCACUUUCAGUGAGGAAGAACGCCUGGUGGUUAAUACCCAUCAGGAAAGACAUCACUCACAGAAGAAGCACCGGCUAACUCCGUGCCAGCAGCCGCGGUAAUACGGAGGGUGCGAGCGUUAAUCGGAAUUACUGGGCGUAAUGCGCGCGUAGGUGGCUUGAUAAGCCGGUUGUGAAAGCCCCGGGCUCAACCUGGGAACGGCAUCCGGAACUGUCAAGCUAGAGUGCAGGAGAGGAAGGUAGAAUUCCCGGUGUAGCGGUGAAAUGCGUAGAGAUCGGGAGGAAUACCAGUGGCGAAGGCGGCCUUCUGGACUGACACUGACACUGAGGUGCGAAAGCGUGGGUAGCAAACAGGAUUAGAUACCCCAGUAGUC
rnacentral:rRNA from 1 species